UUUUAGCCACGCCAGGCCUCUAGGCAUGGUGAUGUUGGUCCAGACCGAAAUAUCUUGACUAAAGAAGAAAGCCUACAGGAAACCUUAACUGUUCACAUUAGGGCCUGCUAACAUGAGGAUGUUAGCACUGAGCUCAUAGCUAAGCCAAAGUACAGCUGACAGGCUGACAGUGCACAGUUAAAAGCGAUAAAGGACAGAUGAUAAAGGGUUCAGUAUGCUUGGAACAACCUAGCUCGUGCGACGAGUUGUCCGACCACAUCUGAAGGCGAAUGUGUUUGUAGCUGCUUGAAUGGUGAAGCAAAAAGCCUGCUGUCAAAGAGAGAGGUUGGUUAAGUGGCGCUCACCUGAGGUUGGGACGGUUGGAGACGGACUCAUAUCUGGGCAGCUGAAGGGAGGAUGCAGAUGACGCUGGAGAAAAUCCAUUCCUAAAACAUCCUGCAGGAAAACCACACAGACACGUUCCACCGUUAAUAUGGUUUUGAGAAAGUUGAGUGAUGUCUAGUUUUGCCUGGAGGUUUGUUUGUUCUGAGUGGAACUGAAAUGGCUUCAGGAGUACAUGAACUCUGAUACAUUCUGACUGAUGUGUCAAAAAAAGGCUGAUCGUUUUAAACUUCACUCAACAUUAUCCAACAUUUUGUUUCUAUCUGACAGUUUUUGCAGCAGCAUGUAGACCACCAGUGGACACUUGGGUUCCUUCCACACAAAGUCCGCGUUGAGCUGCUUUCUCUCCUGGCUGUGUUUUGGUGUAUUUUAUCAUUUUGAUGUGUUGGUCUCAUUAAGUUACUGUUUUAGAUUGGUUGUUUUUAUGAUUGUUUUAGAAAUGUUAUUCAUGAUUUGAAAAACCCCUUUUUGUGUAACUCUGAUUUUGUGGAUAAUUCUGUUCUUGCAUCUAUAUCUUAUUGUUGUUGCUGCCUGUCUCAGCCAAGACCCUUCUGAAAAACUAGUGUUGAAUCUCAUUGAGGCUUUCCUGGCUAAACAAAGGAAAGACAAAACUUUGCAGGGUCUAAUUAUCCAUGUAAACUGUUCAAGCCCAAGUCUUUUCUCACAUAUCAACAGCGGCCUAUAUCCAGCACACCUGGUUGCUAGUUUUAUGAUCUAUAAGUAUAUUGGUCUAAAUUCAGGUGCAAACACUGUCCCAACACAAGUCUGUGUGCUGCAAACUGGAACUGACUCUCAGCCCAAAUCUGCCACGUACUGGAAAGAGCCAGCCCCGGGACUACAGUCGAACAUUACCCAAGCUGGCUAAACUGGCACAUUUACAGAAAUAUCAGCUCACAAUUUAUCAGUGCGCAAUGUCUCUGUAAACGUAAACUCUAUAAAUAAAAUAAAUUAGGUCUUUCAGGCCCAGCUGACUGGAUACCUGUGGAUUGUGCACCGCAGGACACAAUCGUCAAAUUUAAGACAUUUUAAAACCUUUUUGGUCCUUUACCUGAGAAUGUUGCUACUUUUGUUCCAAAUAAGUCAUGGAGGAAGAUUUCUGCAAAGACAGCUAAAGUACGAUAAUUACCUGAAAGUCAAGCUUAAAACAUACAGUCGCAGGAAGAGUUAUGGGUUCAGGUGCAUGUGGGAAAGUGGUUUAAAUGAACCUCUUUUAAAAGAAAAACAAUCUAUCACACCUGCUCAAUGAUAAUAAGUUUACUAUCUGAAGCAGCAGACUGUGCACACACCUUGCAUAAAUUGGCAAUUCCGUCAAAUUCAUUCAUUUACAAAACAUGUUGUCAAAUAAGUUUAAAAAUAAAUAAAUGUAUCUGAAAUGUAGCUGCAUACUUUUUCUGAUUAAAUUUCUGUAGCUGAGGUCAGUGAACAAGUCAGAUGUUUGAUGAACAUCUAAAUGUAUAUACACACACACACAUUUAUUGAUUCUUACUCUCAGACUAUUUCACUUAUGCAGUGUGAAACUCAUAUUUAAAUUGUAGUUAUUUUAUUUAACUUAUUCAGAGUUACUGGCAGUGAUUUGUAAAAUAGCCCCACACCAGAUUAUCCUGUGAUCCAGCUGUGAUAAUAAUAUAAAGGGCUGAUACAGAGAAUUAAAGUGUAGAAGAGAAAGAAACAGUUUGGUUUGGUUCUGUAAUGUCACGCAGGUUACACACUGCUAAAUGUUUCAGAUGGAGACAAUACCUGGUUGAAAUGUUCUUCUUCUUCCCUGAAUGUGUGGCCUGCAAGAGAGAAGAAAAAUUAUAAAUACACAUUUAUUCUAGGUCUCAUAGGCAGAUGGGUUCAGAUCCACACUGAAGACGAGCUGUUGUGCUGUAAAACAGCCACUUAAAAGAGGUGUUUUUAGGACAGACUUCACAAUGACUACAUACAGGGAAAGAAAAUGCAAAUAAACUGCUUUCAUUGAUAUAUUGAUGUAACACUUACCAUCUACAAGACAUGUGGCAAAUAUAAGGACUGCAAAUAGCACACAGGGCAACAUGUUUGUCUUCCAAGAAAGGAAAAGAAAUUAAGAAACAAACAUAAAGAGUCAUUCUGCUGCUUGGAAGCUUUAUUAGGGUAAUAUAACCUUUGUAAUAAAUACUGAUACAUCUUAUCUUUGACCUUUGUAGUCAAUGCAGCCAGAGAGAAUAAUAUACUGUAGAUAAUCGAUUUGUAAUAGCCAACACUUAAAGUCCAAUUUAAAAUGUCCGUGUUUUCCAGAUGGUCAGUAGAUCGUUGGAAUUUUUACACGACAUUGUAAAUACCUGGAUGAAUGAGAUGCAAGUGUUAUGCUGUCUUUUGAUGCAAGAGAGAAACUGCAUUUCAUUCACUUGUACACUGUUGCAUGUGGUUGAAUGACAAUAAACUUGAAUUUGAAACUUGA